rnacentral:ncRNA from 1 species
AAGAAUACGUAGAAGAGGAGUAGUAGCAACUCACUUGCUGAAUUAGAGACCGACUGGUUGGUGAAAAGUCGGAGCAAUCGUUGUGAACUAGCCUUGGAGUAACAUAUGCGAACGAAUAAGUAGUGUAUGUCGUUUUCCCUGCGAUAAAGGGGUCGAGUUGGUAGUGAUAUGCUACAACUAGGGUGGUACCGCGUAAUUUACGUCCUUAGA